rfam:Sphingobacteriales bacterium 50-39 SCNpilot_cont_1000_p_scaffold_0, whole genome shotgun sequence.
UAAGGGUAUGCUGAAAACCUUUAAAAGAGUAGGCA